rnacentral:tRNA from 2 species
GGGCCUGUAGCUCAGUCUGGCAGAGCAUCGGCCUUUUAAGCCGAGGGUCGCGGGUUCAAUUCCCGUCGGGCCCG